CAAUAGCGUAUAUUAAAGUUGUUGCGGUUAAAAAGCUCGUAGUUGGAUUUCUGCUGAGAACGACCGGUCCGCCCUCUGGGUGUGUAUCUGGCUCUUUCUUGGCAUCUUCUUGGUGAACGUUGCUGCACUUGACUGUGUGGAGCGCUACCCAGGACUUUUACUUUGAGGAAAUUAGAGUGUUUCAAGCAGGCAUACGCCUUGAAUACAUUAGCAUGGAAUAAUAAGAUAGGACCUCGGUUCUAUUUUGUUGGUUUCUAGAGCUGAGGUAAUGAUUAAUAGGGAUAGUUGGGGGCAUUCGUAUUUAACUGUCAGGGGUGAAAUUCUUGGAUUUGUUAAAGACGGACUACUGCGAAAGCAUUUGCCAAGGAUGUUUNCAUUG
rnacentral:rRNA from 1 species